UGAGGGAUAUUGGGCAAUGGGGGAAACCCUGACCCAGCGACGCCGCGUGAGGGAAGACGGUCUUCGGAUUGUAAACCUCUGUCUUUGGGGACGAAAAAGGACGGUACCCAAGGAGGAAGCUCCGGCUAACUACGUGCCAGCAGCCGCGGUAAUACGUAGGGAGCGAGCGUUGUCCGGAAUUACUGGGUGUAAAGGGAGCGUAGGCGGGAAGGCAAGUUGGAUGUGAAAACUGUGGGCUCAACCGACAGACUGCAUUCAAAACUGUUUUUCUUGAGUGAAGUAGAGGCAAGCGGAAUUCCUAGUGUAGCGGUGAAAUGCGUAGAUAUUAGGAGGAACACCAGUGGCGAAGGCGGCUUGCUGGGCUUUUACUGACGCUGAGGCUCGAAAGUGUGGGGAGCAAACA
rnacentral:rRNA from 1 species